UGUCGUCCGUCGAGGGAGGAAGACGAACUACGUUGUCUUGUGUGUGUGUUCACUUUACCCGUCUAAAUUGCCUCCCGUCAUCGAUAAGUUAUAGGGAACCACGUGGAGGAUCGCUCUACAAGCAUCCAGAUAUCAUCCACAUUCCUCUAUUUGUAUUGGGCUCAUCAUGACCGGGUUAUUCAUCCGAGGUGAGAGAGUCGAGUGGAAUCUUGGCCCCCGCGGGAGGAGAUGAGGCUGCCCACCUUCACCCGUGACCCGGACAAGGGUAGCAGGAGCGGGCUAACAUGGCGAAGCACCAAGACGGUUGGGAAAUACGUCAUUCACAGGCCAGGGUGUUCUUGGAAGGGAUUCGAGGAUGAAGUGAAGGAAGUUGCCAGCCACUUGCGACAUCUAGGAUUGUCAACCAUACAAGCAGCCAUUACUGUACCGACCAGUUCAAUUGGACGAGUGUGUUAAGGCAGGUUUGUCCCAUUAUUUUGUUGCCUUUAUAAAAUAUACCUCAUCUUGCAGACUGCCUAAAUAUCCGUUUUCAUGAAUUGCAUGUUUGAAUGCUAAAUACGUUCCCAAUGAUGUCUGCUUAAUGUGAACAUUUUGUAAUCAUUAAAAUGU